UACGUAGGGUGCGAGCGUUGUCCGGAAUUAUUGGGCGUAAAGAGCUCGUAGGCGGUCUGUCGCGUCGAUCGUGAAAUCUUGGAGCUUAACUCCGAAACUGCAUUCGAUACUGCCGUGCUUGAGGACUGGAGAGGAGACUGGAAUUUACGGUGUAGCGGUGAAAUGCGUAGAUAUCGUAAGGAAGACCAGUGGCGAAGGCGGGUCUCUGGACAGUUCCUGACGCUGAGGCACGAAGGUCAGGGGAGCAAACGGG
rnacentral:rRNA from 1 species